rnacentral:rRNA from 1 species
AUGCGCAUAGACAUGGCGUCUAGUAACCCACCUGCUGCUAAGAUGGCACCACCUUUCGAACCUACAAUAUGGGGUGACUUUUUUAUCAACUAUACUCCGGAACCACUGCAGUCGGAGGAACGGUUGAGAGAGAGGGUCGAUCAAUUAAAGAAGGUAACCAGUGAACUGUUCGAGUUUUGCAGCGAUAGUGUGGUUGGAACAAUGAAGCUAGUAGAUACACUUGAACAUCUGAGCAUAGACCAUCACUUUGAGGGACAUAUCGCCACUGCAUUAAGCAACAUACACGGUGCUGAACUCGAUAGCUCUAGCCUCCACGAUGUUGCUCUCCGAUUUCGCCUGCUUAGGCAGCAUGGACUGUGGGUUUCUCCAGAUGAAUUUGACAAGUUCAAAGAGGCAGAUGGGACCUUCAACGAUGAGAUAAUGAGUGACCCUCGGGGUUUGCUGAGCUUGUAUAAUGCAUCUUACCUUCUCAUUCCUGGAGAGGUCGAGCUAGAAAGCGCUAUGUUGUUUUCAAGGCAUCGCCUUCAGGCAAUGGUAAAUGACCUUGCGUCCCCAUUAGCUGAACAAGUCAGGCGGUUCCUUCAGAUACCACUGCCAAGGACAUUGAAGAGAUAUGAGGCACUGCAAUAUAUUGCAGAGUACAAAAUGGAGCAGGAAUGCAAUCCCUCCAUAUUAGAGCUUGCAAAGUUGGAUUAUAACCUUUUGCAGCUGGCUCACCAGACAGAGCUCAAGGCAUUUUCUUGGUGGGGCAAUGGUUUAUAUGAAGAAGUGGGACUAAGCUACGCCCGAGAUCGUAUAGUUGAAUUCUACCUUUGGUCCUUUAUAGUGUACUAUGAGCAAAACUAUGCGCCAGCACGAAUAAUUCUUGCCAAAUUGGUGCUUCUAGCAUCCUUGUUAGAUGACACUUACGAUACAUAUGCUACAUUGGAAGACAGUCAAAAGCUCAAUGUAGCCAUACAAAGGUGGGACAUGGGUGCGAUUCCACUUUUGCCAGAUUACUUGAAGAAGUAUUAUGCCAGGGUGAUGGAUACCUUCAAAGAGAUUGAGGAUGAACUGAAACAAGAUGACAAGUAUCGAAUGACUUAUUGUAGGAAAGGGUUCCAAACAUUAAGUAGCUAUUAUCUCCAAGAAGCUGAAUGGUUUCAUCGCAAUUACAUGCCAAGAUUUCAAGAACAAGUCAAUGUGUCAGUCAUCACCUCUGGUAGUACAAUGCUAAGUGUCGGUUUACUUGUUGGUAUGGAUGUUGAAGCAAACAAUGAAGCAUUUGAGUGGGCAAUUGGUUGUACUGAUGUUGUGAUGGCCUGCGGCAAGGUGACACGUUUCAUGGAUGACUUGGCUGCAUUUAAGCGUGGAAAGAACAAAAUGGAUGUGCCAAGCUCUCUGGAAUGCUACAUUAAUGAGCACCAUGUUACAAGUGAGGUGGCUAUCACCGUGCUCGAUGGUCUGGUUGAAGAUGCAUGGAAAACUAUCAACCGUGAACGCUUUGUUUGUACUACGCUGCUUCCAAUUGUAAACCGUGUCAUCAACCUUACUACAAGCAUGUCAGUCUUGUUCCAUGACGGGGGAGACGGUUACACAUACAACAAGGACAGUGAAGGGAUGAUCGAGAAGUUGUUCGCCAAGCCUAUCCCGCUUUAA